rnacentral:rRNA from 1 species
AUUGCCUCAGUAACGGCGAGUGAAGCGGCAACAGCUCAAAUUUGAAAUCUGGCCCUCGGGUCCGAGUUGUAAUUUGUAGAGGAUGCUUUUGGCGCGGUGCCUUCCGAGUUCCCUGGAACGGGACGCCUUAGAGGGUGAGAGCCCCGUACGGUUGGACACCAAGCCUCUGUAAAGCUCCUUCGACGAGUCGAGUAGUUUGGGAAUGCUGCUCAAAAUGGGAGGUAUAUUUCUUCUAAAGCUAAAUACCGGCCAGAGACCGAUAGCGCACAAGUAGAGUGAUCGAAAGAUGAAAAGCACUUUGAAAAGAGGGUUAAACAGCACGUGAAAUUGUUGAAAGGGAAGCGCUUAUGACCAGACUUUUUCCGGGCGGAUCAUCCGGCGUUCUCGCCGGUGCACUUCGCCCGGUUUAGGCCAGCAUCAGUUUCCGCGGGGGGAUAAAAGCUUCGGGAAUGUGGCUCCUCCGGGAGUGUUAUAGCCCGUUGCAUAAUACCCUCGCGGGGACCGAGGUUCGCGCUUCUGCAAGGAUGCUGGCGUAAUGGUCAUCAGCGACCCGUCUUGAAACACGGACCAAGGAGUCAAGCAUUUGUGCGAGUGUUUGGGUGUUAAACCCUCACGCGUAAUGAAAGUGAACGUAGGUCAGAGCUUCUCGGGGUGCAUCAUCGACCGAUCCUGAUGUUCUCGGAUGGAUUUGAGUAAGAGCAUAACUGUUCGGACCCGAAAGAUGGUGAACUAUGCUUGGAUAGGGUGAAGCCAGAGGAAACUCUGGUGGAGGCUCGCAGCGGUUCUGACGUGCAAAUCGAUCGUCAAAUCUGCGCAUGGGGGCGAAAGACUAAUCGAACCAUCUAGUA